rnacentral:lncRNA from 1 species
UCAUUUGGCUCCGUGUGUAGUCACUUAUUGAAAUCACUAGAAAGACAAAUAUUAAGAAUGGAUGGAGUAGAACUCAUAUUUAUGUUACUUUCAGGACCUGUUAUAUACAAACUACAUAGAGUACAGAGGUACAUGUGUGUACAAAGGGGUGUGUGUACAGGUCCAUGUGUGUAAAAAGGGGUGCGUGUACAGAGACAACAAAUAUUUGUAUAGAAGAGCAUGUGUUCAUAAGAAAAAUUCAAACAAGGAACACAUGUAUGCAAUCUGCAUGUAAUACAAUACACCACAUGAAAAUCUUCAAAUAGAAAAUCAGCACCAUAUGUAAUCACCACUUCACCAGCAACAAGAUUCAUGCAUGCGUACUCAUUUAUAUUUGACAGCAAAAAGUAAGAUCAAGUAACAUCGGCGCAUGGAAUCGAUAAGAAGCAAACACCAUGAGGGCUUAGUACUUCAACAUAGUAGCUUCUGGAUUGGCACCUUCGACAACUUUUGCUUCAACAUCUUCAUCUUCAAAGAUGCUAUGUAAGACUGAUUCCUCUCCUGCUUCUGCAUCCGCCUCUGCCUCUACACUCACAAAUGCAUCAUCUUUAUUAUUCAACUCCUCAUGUUCAACUUCCAGUAUAGAAAGCAUCUACUAAAAACAAUGUUACUCGUUAUUGAACCAUUCCUUCAUCUAACUAGUAGACACGAACAUACAAACUACCAAAAAGAUACUGAUUAUAGGCUAGUACAUAAAAGCAACAUAACACAGGUCUGCUCUGAAUAUACAAGAUGUGGUAUUUCAGAUAACGUGGUAAUUUUGAAGUAUUAAAAAAACAACCCCAAACCUCUUUAUUUUAACCAAGCAUGAAGAACAACAACUGACGUGUUCUGUUUCUUACAGAAGAGCAGCUGCGGCACGGCUAGUAACCUCAAUGGAUUGUGAUGUUGCGUCUGGCAUACAAGCUGCAAAUUUUGUACACCCUCAUACAAAUGUAUUUGAGUUAUUCCUUUUGCAGCUAGUUACAUCACAUAACUCCAAAAAUAAACAUAAUACUCUAGUAAAUACCCGCAAGGGCCAAACGCCUCUAUGUUUUGCCGAUACUGCAAAAUACCAAAGUAUUUGUAUACUAUGGUAUUUCGUGCUUACAAAUUCUAAUAAUGUGGUUUCUUAAUACUAUGGGUUUCUAGAUAUUGUGCAUCCAAACACAGCCUAAUUGAUUCACAUAAAUGAAUAAGAAUCUGGACAUCACAUAUGCACAGAGAGAGAUUAAGUAGUUUGCUCACCUUCAGCUGCUAGGUAGAGCACGGGAAGAGCAGCAGCCGGCGAUCCGGCAACCAGCUUGGAAGAGGACGAGAGGUGGUGACUAACUGCAGCGGCCAAUAGCUACACUUGUCACCAGGAGAUGGAGCACCAUUGGUGGAUGGCUACGUCACAGGCAGUGGAGCGACACAAGAGGGUCUGGCUUGGCGGCGCGACGCACGGGGCACGGCGAUCGGGGAUGAUGGUCGACUGGUCGUCACCUCACCGCUGAUGGCUCACGGCAUUGCGGCAUAGCGAGGGGCGGCGGCUAGGGUUCAUGGUGGCCUGGUGAGAGAGAAAAGACGAACAUUGUGUGAAGCAGGGGGGCGGCUAGAUUUGUGUGAAUCGAUUGAAUAGUGAGGUGAGG